CCCGGACUGGGCCACGAACCUGUGUCCCCUGCAUCGGCAGACGGACUCUCAACCACUGCACCACCAGGGAAGCCCCAUUACCAUUUAUUUUUUGAAAACUUACGGGAUCCUGAAGACAAGGUGUUUAAUUGGAAAAGCAUCGGCAACGCAGCACUAAUUCCAACUCAUGCUGCUCUCCUUGUUGACCACACACCAAAUAAGGGCAGAAAUGGCCUCUUUGAGUUUUUCAGAAUUAUGUUAACAAACAAGAAAAGCAGUGAUGGAAUUACCAGGCUGAGAAACAAAACUACUCCCUCGGGAGAAAGCAAAAAGUCCCCAAAUACCAUGAAUCUCUAAAUAACAACAAUCUCAUGCUUUCAACUUUGGCGAUAGGAAGUUUUUCCAUGACAGUGUUCAAUAUCUCGCUAAAUCUGGAUAUCCAUUUAUUGGAGCCAAUAUUCAUAAACUUUCCCAUUCCUGGGCACUUAUUGACCUGACACCCCCAGGACGCCUUCCUCACCCUGCCACUCCCCGUGCACUGACUGAUUCUGUGAAGUAAACAUCAUCAUAAGGACAUAAUGCAUAUUGCAGGCAUCCUGUCUCUGGAACUGUGUUGUCAAGAAAAAGAGUGCUAUAUUCUCAGUGUUCUACUUGGCCGUGAACUUCCUGGGGCCACAUAACCCUGGGACAGUAGGAGCUAAAUAAAUGACUUCUAAGAGCUUUGGAUAUAAUAAUUGGAAUGAGGCUAUUCUAGAAGGUGGAGAACUUUUGCAGAAAAAUUAAACCAUUCCCCAUGGACAUCAGUUAAUAUCAGAGAAAAAAGGAACUCAAGCAUCAUUUGUCAUUUCUGACAGCAAUGCUGAGUGGCCUAACGAAAACUGCCAUGGUUGUCUUGUUGAAGGGGUCCUUCAUUUGCCUCCCACGCUAUGCGGUAUCCUUCCUACAGCUAUCCACCUCCCUCCACAACCCCUGAACCUGGCUGCCAAGUGCACGCAGAUCAAAAUAGACACGGGGUGAGCAUAUAUGUUGAUCUAGGCAGAGGACCUCGCAGAUGUGAAAUGUGGAAAAGAAUAGAAUAAAAUAGAUUUGGGGAAGAUAUGUCAGCAUUGUUUGAAUUUCCUGCUUCUAUCACCAUGAUCUGGAUUGAUUUGGGAGGAACUCAAACUCUCCAAGUCUCAGUUCUUCAUGAAUAAAAUAGGGACAUUAUCAACUUCCUCGUAAAAUGGUGCUUUCUUGGGAAGAUUAAAGUCAAUAUACAUGAAAGUCAAUAUACAUCCUUCUCUCUUUUAUUGUCUAUAAAUAUAUACACAUAUAUCUGUUUGUGUAUGUGUGCCCACAAUUCAACUAAGUGCUAGUUUAGCCCAGAAACUUGUAGUCUAGUUGGGGAUAAAGCGUGUAUUGUAGAGUGAUCCAAACGACAGUGAAAUCUCACGGUAAAAGAGCUGCAUGGUUAGAUGCCCUAAUCAUGAUUAGAUUGUAAAAGCUGCAUGAUUAGAUGCCCUAUGAUCGAACUGAAAAUAAGAGAACUCACGUAUUCCGUCUGAACCCUCACUGCAUGCCAGUAUUUACAUUCGUCAUAAUAUUCAAGACAGCCCUGAAACUUAGGCUUUGCUAUUCUAAUUACAUAGAGGAAGAAUGCGAGGCUCAGAGAAGGUAGGCAGCUUGGUCAGGAAAACAAAUAGAUCCACUCGGACCCCAAGCCUGGUCUCUUUCCUUGAGGUCAUGCAAUCCUGACUCUGAAACAUGGUGGAGUGCAUGGUGCUUUGUGCAUGUUACCAUGUCAGAAGGAUGAGCUGAAUCUUGAAAAAAGGGUAGAAUUUGGGCAGGUCAAGAGGAGAGAGGGAUACUUCAGGAGAGGGGAUGAUGAACCGAGACGUGGAGAUGGAAACAGAGAAGGCAGAUCUGUGAGACAGCUACAAACCAAUUUCUUUAGAGAUAAAUGAUGUGGCUGAGAAGCCAGAGAUAAGACCAGAAUAGUAGAUUGCGGCUAAUUUUAGAGGCCUUGAAGGCCAGACACAGGAGUGUCAUUCGAUAGCUCAUAAAACAAAUGAGUUUAUUGAGGAACCACUGUGCUGCACUGUGGAAGUAUCAAGACGUAAAAGAAAUAAACAAACAAAGAAAGAACCCAAAAAACAAACCUGGCAACAAAAUAGGCUUUGUCUUUCUAGGGCUACAGGUCCACUUGCCCCAGUACAUGGAAUAAUGCUCUGGGGCUGUGGCAGAAGUCUGAGUGACAGUCAGUGACACAGCAAGGGGGUCAUCAUUUGGGUCCCCUAUCAUGGGCAUAGGAAUUGUUGAGAAAGGCUUCAUAGAGAAGAUGAAUUUAUUCUGGAAGUGAUGGGCAAUGAAGAAAGGAUUCGAACAGUGGAAUUAUAUGAUGAAAAUAUCAUUUUCAGAAGAUUAAUUCAGUAGCAUCCAAUAGGCACAAUACGAUGGUUAGAGACUGGAAACUGAGACUCCAAUUCAUUAAAUAGAAGAUCAGUUCAGCUCUCCAGCAAGAGGAAAGGUAGUGGCAGUGGAAAUGAAAAGGCAGGGAAGCGUGAGUUUUUAUACUGAAAAUCUUGAGGGACUUGACAAUGGCUGACUGAUGAGGGUGAGAUGAGAGAGAGGAGGAUUCAGUGAUGACUCUAAGGUUUUGAGUUUACGUAAAUGGGAAAAUGGCAUUGUCCUGAAGAGGAAUAUGUGAGUCCUAUUCAGGAGAACUGAUUCAAGAAGAAAGGUGAGUUCAGGUUAGCCAGGCUGACACUUGAACAGUAGGAUAUCUAGGCAGUUAGAGAUACAGAUCUGGAGCAAAAAAAGCUUACAUUUUUGCAUUUGGUCCAGCAUCGAUCUGCUUUACAAACCCCAAAGAUACAGAUCUGGAACAAAAAAAGCUUACAUUUUUGCAUUUGGUCCAGCAUCGAUCUGCUUUACAAACCCCAAAGAUGAGACGUUUACUUCUGCCAGAUACUUAGAAUUGAUAAUGUUAUAAAUCAUAAGAGCAAAUACAUGAUAACAAUAAAAACAAUAGUAAUAAUAAAGGCUAAUAUUUGUUGAGAGCUCAUUACAUACCAGGCACUGUGUUAAGUGUUUUAUAUGUAUAAUUGGCAUUAUUUCAUUUAAUUCUCAUAAUAACCAUCAGAUGCAGGUAUUAUUAUUAUCUCCAUUUGAGAGACGAGAAAACUAAGGCACAAAAAGAGAAAUCAACUUUCCUAUGGUAACACUGUAAGUGAGUGGCAGAGCCUGAGCUCAAACCUAGAUAAUCUAAAUAUGGACUGUCCAAUAUGGCAGCCACCAGUCACACAGGGCUAUAGAGACUUAAAAGGGAGCUAGUGUGAUUGAAGAACUAAAUUUAAUUUUUAGUAAUUAAUAUUUAAAUUAUGAAACUGAUAGCUGAUUCAGUUAUUGGAAAUCUGAAACUUGAGUAAAUGAAUCUACAUUUCUUUGUAAAUUUUAUGAAAUCUAAAUUUAGAUCUAGCAAGAUUGAUGGAAAGUUAGCAUCUAAAUCAAUAUAUAAAACACAGACAGGAUUUCAAAGGCCCAGAAUGAGGAAAGGUUUUAAAUAUUUCAUUAAUAAUUUUAUAUAUUGCUUACAAUAAUAAUUAUUGAUUAUAUAUUGAUUAUAAUAUUUUGAAAUUAAUUUUAUCUGUUUCUUUUUAUUUUUUAAAUGUGGUACCAGAACAUUUUAAAGUACAAGUGUGUUUUGCAUAGUAUCUCUAUUGGCUAUUGUAGGUCUAAAUACUGAGAAAUAAAUAAAUGAGAGGUCAACUGCAUGACAAGACAAAUGACAUAGUUAAGGGAACACAGGUUAUUUCUUUUUCCAUUCCAGAUGGCUAUUUUUGACAACAUCUGUAGAGAAUACAGAAAUUGUCUUAAUUCAAUGGGACGCUGAGCCCUGGAUGUGACUGAUUGUUAAUCUCCCCACUCUUUUAUAUUGGUCAACUCUUUCACCAUUUUCAGGGAAAACAACAACCCUAACUACCUUUUCUUGGUAUGUCUUGUAGUUGUUUACCUUUCAAAGGUGAAUUACUUUGCUCACAGCUGUUUUCUAUCUUUCAUCUCAAGCUGUGUCUUCAUGUCAAUCUCAAUCUAGAACUGAUUUAUCAAAGAACCCCAAAGGAGGGCUUCCCUGGUGGCGUAGUGGUUGAGAGUCCGCCUGCCGAUGCAGGGGA